UGGCGGANGCUUACCAUGCAAGUCGAGCGGAGAGAGGUAGCUUGCUACUGAUCUUAGCGGCGGACGGGUGAGUAAUGCUUAGGAAUCUGCCUAUUAGUGGGGGACAACAUUUCGAAAGGAAUGCUAAUACCGCAUACGUCCUACGGGAGAAAGCAGGGGAUCUUCGGACCUUGCGCUAAUAGAUGAGCCUAAGUCGGAUUAGCUAGUUGGUGGGGUAAAGGCCUACCAAGGCGACGAUCUGUAGCGGGUCUGAGAGGAUGAUCCGCCACACUGGGACUGAGACACGGCCCAGACUCCUACGGGAGGCAGCAGUGGGGAAUAUUGGACAAUGGGCGCAAGCCUGAUCCAGCCAUGCCGCGUGUGUGAAGAAGGCCUUAUGGUUGUAAAGCACUUUAAGCGAGGAGGAGGCUACUUUAGUUAAUACCUAGAGAUAGUGGACGUUACUCGCAGAAUAAGCACCGGCUAACUCUGUGCCAGCAGCCGCGGUAAUACAGAGGGUGCAAGCGUUAAUCGGAUUUACUGGGCGUAAAGCGCGCGUAGGCGGCUAAUUAAGUCAAAUGUGAAAUCCCCGAGCUUAACUUGGGAAUUGCAUUCGAUACUGGUUAGCUAGAGUGUGGGAGAGGAUGGUAGAAUUCCAGGUGUAGCGGUGAAAUGCGUAGAGAUCUGGAGGAAUACCGAUGGCGAAGGCAGCCAUCUGGCCUAACACUGACGCUGAGGUGCGAAAGCAUGGGGAGCAAACAGGAUUAGAUACCCUGGUAGUCCAUGCCGUAAACGAUGUCUACUAGCCGUUGGGGCCUUUGAGGCUUUAGUGGCGCAGCUAACGCGAUAAGUAGACCGCCUGGGGAGUACGGUCGCNAGACUAAACUCNAAUGAAUUGACGGGGGCCCGCAC
rnacentral:rRNA from 1 species